rnacentral:misc_RNA from 1 species
GAUGAAGAACGCAGCGAAAUGCGAUAAGUAAUGUGAAUUGCAGAAUUCAGUGAAUCAUCGAAUCUUUGAACGCACAUUGCGCCCGCUAGUAUUCUGGCGGGCAUGCCUGUCCGAGCGUCAUUUCAACCCUCAAGCCCCCGGGCUUGGUGUUGGGGAUCGGCGAGCCUCCGCGCCCGCCGUCCCCUAAAUCUAGUGGCGGUCCCGCUGCGGCUCCCUUUGCGUAGUAACUCACCUCGCACUGGACCGGGCGGCGGCUCGCCGUAAAACCCCAACUCACGAAAUGUUGACCUCGGAUCAGGUAGGAAUACCCGCUGAACUUAAGCAUAUCAAUAAGCGGAGGA